AAAGGGCUGCAGUAUUUUGACUGUACAAAGGUAGCAUAAUCAAUAGUCUCUUAAUUGGUGACUUGUAUGAAAGAUUGGAUGAAAUAUAAACUGUCUCUUAUUUAUAAUAAAAAUUUAAUUUUUUGAUUAAAAAGUCAAAAUAAAUUUAAAAGACGAGAAGACCCUAUAGAGUUUUAUAUUUUUUUUUAUUGAGAUUAUUUUUUAGUUUAAUAAUUAAAAUAAAAAAAAAUAUUUUAUUGGGGUGAUAAAAAAAUAUAAAAAACUUUUUUUAAUUAAAUUUCAUAAAUAAAUGAAUAAAUGAUCCAGAAUUUUUGAUUAAAAGAAAAAAUUACCUUAGGGAUAACAGCGUAAUUUUUUUUUUUAGUUCAAAUAAAAAAAAAAGUUUGCGACCUCGAUGUUGGAUUAAAAUAAAAUUUAUAUGCAAAAGUAUAAAA
rnacentral:rRNA from 1 species